rnacentral:misc_RNA from 1 species
GGGUUCUACAAAGAAGCCUUCUCCUUGCACUCUCAACUCCACUCUUCCUCCCUGCCUCCUGACCAUUUCACCUUUCCUCCUCUCCUCAAAGCAUGCGCCAAGCUUAGGUCUCCCCUCCAGGGCCAAAUUAUCCACGCUCAUCUCACGAAAACUGGCUUUCACUCAAACCUGUACACAUUCACUGCUCUCUCUCAUAUGUAUAUGAUGCUUCAUCUUUUCCAGGAUGCUCUAAAAGUGUUCGGUGAAAUGCGUGAGCGAAACCUGGCCUCUCUUAACGCUGCAAUUUCUGGGUUUUCUCAAAAUGGGUAUCGCGAGAAGGCCUUUUUAAUGUUUAGAGAGGUGGGAUUGUGUGGGUUUAGACCCAAUUCACUUACCAUUGCCAGUCUGUUGCCUGCUUGUGAUAGUGCUGAACACUGUUUGCAAGUGCAUUGCUGGGCUAUAAAGUUGGGUGUGGAAAAGGAUAUAUAUGUUGCAACGUCGUUGGUGACUAUGUACUCCAACUGUGGAGAGAUAAUUUUGGCUACAGAAGUGUAUGGAGAAAUGCCUAAUCGCAAUGUGGUGAGUCAUAAUGCUUUUAUUUCAGGGCUUUUGCAGAAUGAGGUGCCAAGUGUAGCUUUGAAUGUGUUUAAGGACAUGAGAAAAUGUUCAACUGUUAAACCAAAUUCAGUUACAUUGGUUUCUGUUAUUUCUGCCUGCGCUUGUCUUUUGCAUCUUCAGUUUGGGAAACAGGUUCACGGGUUCAUAAAGAAGACUCAGGCGAGUUGUGACACUAUGGUGGGGACUGCACUUGUGGACAUGUAUUCCAAGUGUGGUCAUUGGAAAUGGGCAUAUGAAGUGUUCAUUGAUCUAAAUAGCAAUAAGAACUUGAUAACGUGGAAUGCAAUGAUUACUGGGAUGAUGUUGAAUGGUCAGAGUGACAAUGCUGUUGAUUUGUUCAAACUUUUAGAAUCUGAAAGACUGGAACCUGAUUCAGCAACAUGGAAUUCCAUGAUUAGCGGGUUUGCACAAUUAGACAAGGGGAUUGAAGCUUUUAACUUCUUCAAGAAAAUGCAAUUUUCUGGGGUAGUCCCAAGCUUGAAGUCUAUUACAAGCAUAUUGCCAGCUUGUGCAUCUUUAUCUGCUUUGCAACGUGGAAAAGAGAUUCACGGGCAUGCUAUUAGAAUUAAUAUUAAUACUGACGAAUUUAUGGCUACUGCACUCAUUGACAUGUAUAUGAAAUGUGGGUAUUCCUCUUGGGGACGGAGAGUUUUUGAUCAGUUUGAGAUAAAGCCCAAAGACCCAGCAUUUUGGAAUGCAUUGAUAUCUGGAUAUGGAAGAAAUGGAGAGAAUGAGUCUGUAUUUGAGGUUUUUGACCAGAUGCUGGAGGAGAAGGUGAAACCAAAUUCAGCAACUUUUAUUGCGGUUUUAUCUGGGUGUAGUCACACGGGUCAAGUUCACAGAGGGUGGCAAGUUUUCAGGAUGAUGUCUAUAGACUAUGCCUUGAAACCAAAGGUAGAGCAUUUUGGUUGCAUGAUUGACAUGUUGGGUCGAUUGGGUAGGCUGGAUGAAGCUAAGAAACUAGUAGAAGACAUGCCUGAGCCUCCUGCUUCUGUUUUUACUUCUUUGCUUGGUGCCUGUAGGCAUCACUUGCAUCCUGAGCUGGGAGAAGAAAUGGCCAUGAAGCUCUCAGAGCUAGAACCGGGGGAUCCAACUCCUCUUGUGACUCUGUCAAACAUUUAUGCUCUAAUGGGAAGGUGGGGAGACGUAGAAAGAAUCAGGCAAAUAAUAGAAGAUAGAGGAUUAAGAAAAUUGCCAGGAUAUAGUUCUAUUGGAGUUACAUAAGAAAGAAUUACAUCCAGUGGUAACUGAUGAAACAGCUUUAACUCCAACCUUUACUAGUCUCUGAGACUUGUUACAUUUCUGCAUCACCAGAAGUUAUUAUAGAUUUUGACAGCAGAAGUAUCAAUCAUUGAACAUUUCAUUUGCCCCUAAGUAGUUAUCAGAGUAGUUAGGGGGCUCAAAUAUGAAACAGGAGAUCACGCCAACAACUUCAUUUUCAUUGCCAGCGACCACAUAAAUCCUGUGAACCGCCAUUGAAGCUAGACUAUGGAUUACACUAGCAAGAGUUGCAUCUAGCUUGCAUGUUAUUGGCGGGAUGACUCUGCUAAUUUCUUGGGUUGAGCUGAUAGUUUUCAUGCAAUCUGUUACUGUGAGCUGCCUGAAAGAAAAAUGGUAAGUCAAACUUGAUUAAAGUUUCAAUACUUUAAUGGUAUUGUCUAUUGUGUUUGUUGCUCAAUUGCAGAGCCUCAAACCGAUGGCUUAUGUAAUAACCAAUUAAAAACCGCGCCAUGUGGUGAUUCUUUUAAUAACCGCAAGUUUCAUACGGGUUGAAUAACAUUCUUUCUUUAUUUUUAUUUUUCCUAUCUUUCCCCUUUCUUUUUUCCUAUUUUCCCCAUAAAUAUCAAUCAUUAAUCAUUUUUCUAUAGAGCACUUUACACUUCAAAUGAUUUUAAUUAUUUUAGUUAUAGCAAUGUGGCUCUUUAUCACAUAAUUGUAUCUGUAAGUUCAAAUCUAUAUUUUGUUUCCACUACCUGAAAUUGUUGAAAAGUUCAGGUUUGAGUAGCAAGUGCCUUAUACCCCUUAUGUUUCUCCCAACAAUCUUCUUCUUUGGCCCCUCUACAACUGGAAGACUACCAAUUUGGUUCUCUCUUAUUUGCUUGAAAGCUUCUAGAAUCAGUUCAUUGCUCUGGAUUCCAACUACCUGGCAUGCAGACAUAAUAGCAAGCUUGAAAAUCCAAACUAAGUGGUCCUGGGAGAGUACUUAUAUGAAAAUUACUCAACUCAUUGGGAGACAUGAAAGGAAGUUCAAAAUCUGAAAUAGAUUGUGCAGCAAUACAAUUGAACCAAACCCCUCUAGAGUCUAGACCCUGAACAAUUGCGGAUUGGGUAAUGAAGUUCUUAAUAUCAUGGUUUCCUGGUUCAAUCACAGGUACAUUGCGCAGCCUAUAUUUUGAGAGUAGAAGUAAGGCGUUUGACAUUGAACUAUCCGUUGCAACGGGAUGGAAAGGAGCCCAGCGGUAUGAGUUGAGUACUGAUCUCAACUGUGUGACAGGAAAAUAAAAUUGUGGCCAGAAAAAGAUUAACCCUCUUAUCCCCAUUGGUUCAAUCAGUCAACAGUACUCAAUGAAGUAUGGCCUAUUAUCUUUGUUCAAGGAAGAAAUAAACCUGCUGAUUUAUUAAAGAGACAUCUGUUACUGGAGCUAAUCAAAAUGCAAGCUUGAGAUUUGGAUGCAUCCCAGACUCAUUCUGAAAGUAAACUUACGGUGGUUGACUUGAAUGGUUCUUCUUGAAGGAUAAGUUUGUAGAAGUCCUCCCCCAAGUUGUCAGCAGCUGUGGGGCCAUUUUUCCCAGCCUCUUAUCUGCAGCCAUGCCACCAACCACAGCAGCACCAACUGCAGCAGCAGUUAGCCCAGCAAUUGUAGCCGGAACUGUGAUGCCCAAUGCUACUGCUCCAAGAGUGCCAACAGCUUCUGUGCCCACUUCAGCAGCUGUUGCAGUACUGGCUAAUAAGGCAACAUCUGCAAGUUCUGCACUCUCUAACACCCAGAGAACAAUUGCUGAAUGUACCUAGUUCUCCAGUUCAAACUAGUUCCUGCAUCAGGGUUUUUCACAGGAGCAGCCAUAAUGUUGCAUUCAGAUAAGAUCUUGACAGCAUCAGCAAUGGAGGUUUCUGCUGGAAUUUGAAUGGCUAUAAAAAUGAAGAUGUAAAGCACCAUUAAGCGAUUAAAGAAUAUUUCAUUUGUUUACUGCCAAGUGCAGUAAAAUUGUAGAAGCCAGAACAUUUCUGCAAUCACCUUUGCUGCCAGGCGCUAGCGGGAAUGAUGAGACUGGAAUCCUUGCAAAUGCAGAACUUAAAAGUCUCCUGCAAUGAUUGUGGUAACUUCUUCCUGGACUGAAUUAUCUCAAAAUAAGCAUCGUAGUUUGCAAAUUUGGAAUGAUGCCUUACACCCCUUACCUCUUCUGCAUGUGCCAUAUCUAUAUUCAUUGCAUAGAACAAAAUUCAUUAUCAUUCCCCUUCAUUAAUGUAAUGAAUCUUUUGCAAUUGAAUUCAUUGUCUAAUAUGAUGCAACUUCGAUUUGUAUGCGAUAGUUGCUCAACCUUCUUAUGUCAUUUAGAUAUUUGCAUAUGUUGAAUUCAUAAGUUUUAGGCCUGUUCGAAACUUGGUAUCACUUGGAAAUCAGUUCUUUACCGGAUCUAAAUUAAUGCAAACUUUACCUCACAAGUGUCUGUUGCAAGAACUAUCUAAUUCUCCCAUUCUAUGAGUGCUUCUCACCCAUGAAAUAGCACAAUAUGAGACCCCUGUGAUGUAGUU